rnacentral:misc_RNA from 1 species
UUUCCGUAGGUGAACCUGCGGUAGGAUCAUUAUUGUAUAACCGAGGCGCGAGGGCUGUCGCUGACCCGAAAUGUCGUGGACUCCAGAGUGCCCUCACACCCGUCCAUCUCACCCCUCGGUGCACCACCGCGUGCGUCCCCCUUUGGCGUUUUCGGAGGGGGGCUUACGUUGGCACACAAACAUUGUAUUCAGUGUAGAAUGUAUUUCUUAUUGUCGCGAUCACGCAAUCAACACAACUUUCAACAACGGAUCUCUUGGCUCUG